GUCUAUAUCCGCGUGGUGUUCCUGAAGGUGGGGGAAAUUGACACGGUCAAGGAGAAAUACUUUGCCGAUGUCUUCGUGCAGGCAAGAUGGCGGGAACCGGCAUUGGAUCACAGUCAACAUUUCGAAAACAGUAACUUGAACGACUACUGGGGUCCCAAAAUAUCUGUUCAGAAUGUAAUCGACUCUAAGAAGAAGAAAGUAUUAAAAGAGUUGAAUUUUACCCCCAAUGGUGAGGCUUUCAUUACGGAGAAAAGAAAAAUUAGCGGACAUUUCUCGGAGAAGCUAGAGCUGAUGGACUUUCCGUUUGAUCACCAGUAUUUGAACCUGAUCAUUACCUCUGAGCUCCCCGCCACUGAUCUGGAGUUCCAGGAGGACAAGGACGAGCUGAGUACCAUCAAUGUGUCCUGCUUCGUGGACGUCCAGGAGUGGUCCCUGUGUGACUACGUGUCCUCCGUACCCUACACAGAAUCCAAAGUCUUCUCUCAGAAACGGAACGUCAACACCAAAUUUCCCGGCAUUUCCGUCGGAUGUUGCGCAGUCAGACGCGCGGGAUUCUUCGUCUGGAACGUUAUCGUCAUCAUGACUCUUAUAUGUGUCACUUCCUUCGCCACAUUCGCAGUCAGUCGCAAGAAUACUGAGAACCGGUUAGGGCUGUCCAUAACUCUCAUGUUGACGGCGGUCACCUUCCGUCUGACGACGAACGCUAAUCUCCCCAAAAUAUCCUAUCACACCCGCCUGGACAAGUUUAUCCUGGCCAACAUGUUCUUUAACUGGCUGGUGACGGCCUGGCACGCAGUCAUAACGAGGUUCGACGAUGACCUACAAGCGACAAUAGACAUCUGGGCCUUCCUCGUCUUCCUCAUUGGAUACGGGCUCUUCCUAGUCGUUUUUGUUUCCUUAGUGCUCAUUACAUAUGUGUUACGAAAUAACGAACUACAAUCAAAGCUGAAGAUAUACGAGGAGAAGGCGGAGAAGUUACUAGGCGGUCAUUGGAAGGAUUCCCGCUCGAAGGAGCAGGUGGGCAUCACAAAUAGGAGACGUGCGGGAUUGUCCUACGCCACGCCAGGGACAGCGUCGGCUGUGUAUCCCAUGGAUACCUGAAUCACAGCCUCCUUCUGGACUCCACCAGAUACACUUGUGAUAUUAAAUCAAAGACAUUCCAUUUAUUUUUAUAUAUACAUUUUUAUGCAUAAUUACCAAGAGUUUCAAUAUAAAUGAAUGGUGAAAAAAACCCCGUAGAACUUGCUAAAAACCACAGCAUGGUCAGAAAUGUUUCCAUUGUUUUACCUGGUGGCAACAACUAAACACAAACGCAAACUUCAAAACAAUGAGAAUGUAUGCUGACAUUGCUCUCUCUCUCUCUCUCUCUCUCUCUCUCUCUGUGAAUAAUAAGAUACUAUUGGUGCUUCAUUCUCAGCUUUCACAAAGAUAACCAUAUUAAACCUUUACACGUAGAUUUUUUAAUAUUUUUUAAUUCAACAAUUACAAUUUGUGUUACUAAACCAAUACAAAUAAAUCAUUUUAAAA
rnacentral:misc_RNA from 1 species